UUUUGGGAGCUUGGAGAUUGUUGGAGCUUGGAUCCUCCACACCUCUGAGUUAGGGAUCGCACCACCCCUCGAUCUUCAAGAGGUAAGUGUAGAUAUUUGCUUCCUUUGUGUUUUAAUGAAGUUUUAAGUAAGUUUAUUGGAGUUUUAAUGGUUGAGUGUGGGUAGAUAUGCAUGUUUAGGUUUAUGUGGGUUUUAUGCCCAAUGUAUGCUUAUGCCUGUUUAUGUAUGUUUAUGUGAUGUUAUGUUGAAGGUUUAAGCUAGUUUGUGCAUGUGGGAGAGUGUAUGCAUGAUGGG
rnacentral:lncRNA from 1 species